rnacentral:rRNA from 1 species
GGGAGGUAGUGACAAUAAAUAACAAUACGGGGUUCUUUCGGAUCUCGUAAUUGGAAUGAGUACAAUUUAAAUCUCUUAACGAGGAACAAUUGGAGGGCAAGUCUGGUGCCAGCAGCCGCGGUAAUUCCAGCUCCAAUAGCGUAUAUUAAAGUUGUUGCAGUUAAAAAGCUCGUAGUUGAAUUUCGGGGUCAGCAGGUUGGUCGUGCCAAUGGUAUGAACUGGCCUUGCUGAUUCCUCCCUCUUGAUGAGCCGUAAUGCCAUUAAUUUGGUGUUGCGGGGAAUCAGGACUGUUACUUUGAAAAAAAUUAGAGUGUUUAAAGCAGGCAAGCGCUUGAAUACAUUAGCAUGGAAUAAUGAAAUAGGACGUUUGAUCCUAUUUUGUUGGUUUCUAGGAUUGACGUAAUGAUUAAUAGGGAUAGUUGGG